rnacentral:rRNA from 1 species
GGCGAGAAAAAUCACAAACCGAAAAUCAAAACGCUGACGUCGAGCAGCACCAGGGUCAGGCUGUAGUUCCCCGUUGGCAGGAUUGCUAGAUUCCUCAAGACUGGCAAGUACACCAAGCGUAUUGGCGCCGGCGUCCCCAUCUACCUCACCACCGUCCACGAGCGCCUCGCCGCUGAGGUCCUGGAGCUGGCCGGCAAUGCUGCCAGGGACAACAAAAAGAGUUGUAUUGUGCCCCGCCACAUUCAGCUCGCCGUGUGCAAUGAUGAGGAGCUAACCAAGCUGCUCGAUGGUGCCACCUGUAGUUGCGCCGCUCGCCACUACCAUCUCUGGCAUGGAUAA